rnacentral:rRNA from 1 species
CGUAGGGUGCAAGCGUUAAUCGGAAUUACUGGGCGUAAAGCGUGCGCAGGCGGUUAUGUAAGACAGAGGUGAAAUCCCCGGGCUCAACCUGGGAACUGCCUUUGUGACUGCAUAGCUAGAGUACGGCAGAGGGGGAUGGAAUUCCGCGUGUAGCAGUGAAAUGCGUAGAUAUGCGGAGGAACACCGAUGGCGAAGGCAACCCCCUGGGCCUGUACUGACGCUCAUGCACGAAAGCGUGGGGAGCAAACAGGAUUAGAUACCCUGGUAGUCCACGCCCUAAACGAUGUCAACUGGUUGUUGGGUCUUCACUGACUCAGUAACGAAGCUAACGCGUGAAGUUGACCGCCUGGGGAGUACGGCCGCAAGGUUG